rnacentral:misc_RNA from 1 species
AGCAAUAUCUCCUAGGAGAAUGUCGCAGGAAAUAUUGCAAAUUAUAGUGCCAGCAAUAUCUCCUACAAAAGCCUUUAAUGGAUGAUAAUAUAAUAUAUUUGGUUUUUAUGUUUUCCUUGUUGACUUUCAGGUGAUGAUUUCUGAAUUUCGAGAAAAUGAAGUCUUAUGUUGGCUUGACCUGAACGAGACUGGAAUUUGCCCUUCCCUGUUACUAAUUCACCUAGAAUAUAACUACAUAAAUCUUCACAUGGAAGCACUAUUCGAUGCAAUUACAUUGAACGACAUCAUAGAAAACCAUACAAUCCCUGAACCAUAUCGUCGGCCAUUUUGUCUGUAUAUUUACAAAGGAUUGUUGAGUGCAGUUAAAACAAUGCACGAUGAAAACUGGACUCACAGAGAUCUUCACGCUGGAAACGUGAUGAUACAGAAAAACACAAGUUCAGGCAAACUAGAUAUAAAGUUUUUAGAUUUUGGAACAGCAAAACAAAUUUACGAUGAAAAAGAGGGUGUCGAUUAUACUGGCAGAGACGACGACAUUCUACAGAUAGUUCGACUUUUCAGCGCAUUGUAUACAGGACAGCUAUUUGAAAGCGCUUUCGAUCUGAAGGAAAACUACAAAUCCGAGUUAGAUGAGGCGGCCAAGAGUCUAAACUUUUCAUAUGAUGAACUAGCUGAACUCUUCCAACUGGUGGAGUUAGCAUUAACUUGGCAAGAGGAACACAGCAGAGUUGUUACACAAAUACAGAUGAUAGUCCGACAGUGGUGACAAUUGAGCAUCUCAUUUCAGUGAUAGAGAAGAAACUCAAAUCAGAGGAUAUUGACAAAAUGUUUAAAGAGGUGACAGCCAUUUUGUUCCCAGAAAGUGAAUAUCAUAAUCUCCACACAAACAGUGAUUUAGGGUCAACGGGUUCUGCUUUGCCGCCCAACGCCGCCACCUCAGGGACUGUGAAGAGGACCGAAGAGGCACCUGCCCCAACAGAACCGACCACACCCACGACGGAACCAGACGACUUAGACACAGCCCCACCGGCUCCACCGGCCCCACCGGCCCCACCGGCCAACUCGUCUACAUGUCCAGCCCGGAAGGCAGCUGUUCACAAUCAGAAGGCAACCGCCCCCCCCGGGCGGCCAACCAGUCAAACCAAGCCGACCGUCUUCACAACCGCUGAAA